rnacentral:lncRNA from 1 species
CAAGAGAGAGCUCAUGGAUCAAACGCUGCAAAUUUCUCUACAAAUUUCUAGCUUCAAGCAAUCAAGUUCAAGUUCAAGUUCAAGAUCAUCGUUCGUGGAAAACAAAUAUAGAUUCAAGAUCAAUCUCAAAGGCCCUUGAAUUUAUACUAGAAAAGUAGAAUCAGAUUAUCUAUAGAGAUUGUAACACUCAACUAUUCGAAAUAAAUUACUACGAUUGUUGUGAUAUUUUUGGUCUUGAUUUUAUUUUCUCGGCGCAAAUUUAUUGUCUACACUUUCAAAGUGUUGUAGUGAUG